rnacentral:rRNA from 1 species
UAAGUCUCUGUUUAAAUAUCCCAGGCUCAACCUGGAGGAAGGCAGGGAAACUGGCUAGCUUGAGCAUAGUAGAGGUAACUGGAAUUUCUAGUGUAGGAGUGAAAUCCGUAGAUAUUAGGAGGAACACCGAUGGCGUAGGCAGGUUACUGGGCUAUUGCUGACACUAAGACACGAAAGCGUGGGGAGCGAACGGGAUUAGAUACCCCGGUAGUCCACGCCGUAAACGAUGGAUACUA